rnacentral:misc_RNA from 1 species
AAGUUCGACGCCGAAAGGCGUCCCACCUUCAAACCAUUGUGAACACACCCGUUGCUUCGGCGGCGUUGGACCGCCUUCGCGGGCGCCCUCGUCAGCCCGCCCGAGGCUCCAAACCAAAACCUUUUCAGUAACCGUAGUCUGACAACCAAAGAUUUAAUUCGUUAAAACUUUCAACAACGGAUCUCUUGGUUCU